rnacentral:snoRNA from 11 species
AAGGCUUCUGGUUUAUUUAAGAUUUUUGCUUUGCACUUUUUUCAUUGUGUAUGGCAAUGUUUAAUUGAAGCCGAUAUGUGUGUUCCCCUCGCUAUCCGUUGUUGCAAUUUUGAUGCUGCAUUUUGGACGUCGGGGAACUAAAUCA